GUUAUGAUAUUCCUCCCCCAAAUGGAGAGAGCUUGGAAAUGUGUUCUCAAAGGGCUGUUGCCUAUUUUAGAGAAAAGAUUGAACCCCAGCUUCAAUCUGGAAAGAAUGUAAUGGUUGCUGCCCAUGGGAAUUCACUAAGGUCUAUCAUUAUGUAUCUUGACAAAUUAACUUCUCAGGAGGUUAUUAAUUUAGAAUUAUCUACUGGGGUUCCAUUACUUUACAUAUAUAAAGAUACGAAAUUUAUUAAGAGGGGC
rnacentral:misc_RNA from 1 species